rnacentral:rRNA from 1 species
UACAGAGGUCCCGAGCGUUGUUCGGAUUCACUGGGCGUAAAGGGUGCGCAGGUGGGUUUGCAAGUUUGAUGUGAAAGCCCCGGGCUUAACCCGGGAAUGGCAUUGAAUACUGCAGAUCUGGAGGAUUGGAGGGGGGACUGGAAUUCUUGGUGUAGCAGUGAAAUGCGUAGAUAUCAAGUGGAACACCAGUGGCGAAGGCGAGUCCCUGGACAACACCUGACACUGAGGCACGAAAGCUAGGGGAGCAAACAGG